CUCAAAUGGAUUCUACUGUUGCACUGAACAACCCCUAGAACUUUGAUCCCAUAGUUCUGAAACACCCUGUAUAGUUAAAAGACAGUUGGAAGUUUUUCUGCGUUUUGAAAAUGCCGCCAGAUAUAGGGUAGGCGUGCCUAAGAGUACGCAUUCCCUAAGAGUACGCAGACCUCGGAUGAGCCAUAUGGCAACACCGCGGGUCGAAUCCAAUAUGGCCAUUUGAUAACAAGGUGAUAAUGGGAAAAUAUAAAAGGAAAACAAAUCGUACGCUGAAAUUAACACAAGAAUUGCUAGACGAGGCGCGACUUAGAAUAGACCGGGGGGAAAGCAAGCGUUCAGUUGCUGCUGCCUUGGGUGAUAACAAGUGCUCUUUACGGAAACGAUUGAGAUUAGGGACUAUUCCACAAUCUUUGGGGCGUUUUAACUAAGUUUUUACUCUCGAUCAGAAAAAAGAAUUGGCGAAUCAUAUUAAAGAUCUGGAUAACCGAUUCUAUGGAUUGCGCAAGAAAGACUUGAAGUCGCUUGCAUUCCAGUACGCCGAGCUAAACCAAAUAAGGCACAGAUUUAAUCCAGAGAAAAAAAUGGCGGGUAAUCACUGGGUUAAAGAUUUUUCUAAACGAAACUUGCUGUCUCUUAGAGCUCCCGAAAAAGUAAGUUUGGCUAGAGCAACUGGCUUUAAUAAG